CAUUCCUCCUGCUCCUCAUCCUUUGGAGUUCUUCAUCUCCUACCUUAGCUUGCUGCACCAUGAAUAACAAAACACCCACUCCACCUAGCUAGCAGCUGCCUUCCUUCAUUCAUGCAUAAACCCUCCUCCUCCUCCUUCAUUCUGGUUGCAUUUAGACCUAGCUAGAGCAGACCAGACCGGCCAGCUGCUGAUCUGUGAGAGAUCGAUUCAGAUGGAGAUGCAGGCGAAGGAACCGAGGGGCGGCAAGAGGAGCAGGAUGAGCGGCGGCACGACGGCAGCGAGGGUGGUGGCGAGGAAGGAGGUGGAGAGGGAGAGGAGGCAGCACAUGAAGGUGCUCUGCGCCAAGCUCUUCUCUCUCAUCCCAAAAGAACACCUCUCCAACACUAAUACAGUGACCCAACUAGGCAGCCUGGAUGAGGCUGCGUCAUACAUCAAGAAGCUCAAAGAGAGGAUAGACGAGCUGCACAAUAGGAGGAACUCUGCGCAAGCAAUGGUUGCCGCAAGAGGGGCUAGUGGUGCCUCAACGCCUACCACCACCCCUACCACGAGUGGUGGUAAGGGGUCCACGGAAGGAGAGAAACAUUGGGAGGCAUCGGCACCGGUGGUGGAGGUGCGGCAACAUGAUGAUACGAGCAUGGAUGUGGUGCUGGUAUGCAGCACAGAGAGGCCGAUCAUGCUCCACCAGGUGAUCACCAUCCUCGAGGAAGAAGGCGCCGAGGUCGUCAAUGCCAAUCACUCCGUUGCUGGCCACCAAAUCUUCUACACCAUACACUCCCGGGCCUUCAGCUCCAGAAUUGGCAUAGAUGUUUCAAGUGUUUCUGAACGACUGAGAGCAUUGAUGACCAAAAAUAUCCCCAACUUGCUCGAAUGUAAUUUACUUUCUGCUGGGACAUAUGUACAAUGCUUUGCUUCACGGGUUGAAGGGCAGUAUAUAUUUGGCAAAUGGCGAUGUAGGUUGUGGCCUCCACACUCCCUACACCAGCUGCCCUGCUCCAGUGAAUCCAGCACUUAUCUGAAUGGAGGUAACGAGCAGAACAAGAUGUGUUGCAUUGGGAGCACUGCAUGCGUCAACGUGCUCUCCGUGGUAACAUGCAUGCAUGCCCUCUGCUUCUCUGAUCGAUGGAGCAAGUGA